GACGAACGCUGGCGGCGUGCCUAAUACAUGCAAGUUGAGCGCUGAAGGUUGGUACUUGUGCCAACUGGAUGAGCAGCGAACGGGUGAGUAACGCGUGGGUAAUCUGCCUUUGAGCGGGGGACAACAUUGGGAAACGAAUGCUAAUACCGCAUAAAACCUUUAAACACAAGUUUCAAGUUUGAAGGAUGCAAUUGCAUCACUCAAAGAUGAUCCCGCGUUGUAUUAGCUGGUUGGUGAGGUAAAGGCCCACCAAGGCGAUGAUACAUCGCCGACCUGGGAGGGUGAUCGGCCACAUUGGGACUGAGACACGGCCCAAACUCCUACGGGAGGCAGCAGUAGGGAAUCUUCGGCAAUGGACGAAAGUCUUACCGAGCAACGCCGCGGUAGGGAAGAAGGGUUUCGGAUCGUAAAACUCUGUUGGUAGAGAAGAACGUUGGUGAGAGUGGAAAGCUCAUCAAGUGACGGUAACUACACAGAAAGGGACGGCUAACUACGUG
rnacentral:rRNA from 1 species